GCAGUGGGUACGGGCAGACUAGAGUGCGGUAGGGGAGAUUGGAAUUCCUGGUGUAGCGGUGGAAUGCGCAGAUAUCAGGAGGAACACCGAUGGCGAAGGCAGAUCUCUGGGCCGUUACUGACGCUGAGGAGCGAAAGGGUGGGGAGCAAACAGGCUUAGAUACCCUGGUAGUCCACCCCGUAAACGUUGGGAACUAGUUGUGGGGGCCUUUCCACGGUCUCCGUGACGCANCUAACGCAUUAAGUUCCCCGCCUGGGGAGUACGGCCGCAAGGCUAAAACUCAAAGGAAUUGACGGGGACCCGCACAAGCGGCGGAGCAUGCGGAUUAAUUCGAUGCAACGCGAAGAACCUUACCAAGGCUUGACAUACACCGGACACGUCUGGAAACAGUCGCCCCUUUUUGGUCGGUGUACAGGUGGUGCAU
rnacentral:rRNA from 1 species